GAACGCUGGCGGCGUGCUUAACACAUGCAAGUCGACCGGAAAGGCCCUGCUUUUGUGGGGUGCUCGAGUGGCGAACGGGUGAGUAACACGUGAGUAACCUGCCCUUGACUUUGGGAUAACUUCGGGAAACUGGGGCUAAUACCGGAUAGGAGCUCCUGCUGCAUGGUGGGGGUUGGAAAGUUUCGGCGGUUGGGGAUGGACUCGCGGCUUAUCAGCUUGUUGGUGGGGUAGUGGCUUACCAAGGCUUUGACGGGUAGCCGGCCUGAGAGGGUGACCGGCCACAUUGGGACUGAGAUACGGCCCAGACUCCUACGGGAGGCAGCAGUGGGGAAUAUUGCACAAUGGGCGGAAGCCUGAUGCAGCAACGCCGCGUGCGGGAUGACGGCCUUCGGGUUGUAAACCGCUUUCGCCUGUGACGAAGCGUGAGUGACGGUAAUGGGUAAAGAAGCACCGGCUAACUACGUG
rnacentral:rRNA from 1 species